CGACGAAGUAAAAAAAGUUGUCCCUGUCUUUUGUAGGUCUGGCUGGUUUUCAAGCAUUGAUGAAACAGAACGAUGCUACGCCGGAGUAAUUGAAUUACGUAGGAAACCAGUUAUAACCAGGUGCAGGACGGCAGCUUGAGUGUGAAUAUUGAUCAAGGGUAGGGCACGUGCACCCUGGCUCACUUAGACCUUGUCGCUGAUGCAGUUUGAACAAUAAAAGAUGAGCACGGAGCAGAGACCAAUGGUAUAGAAAGGAGUAUCCCAGAAGGUUUCAGUGCAUUCAGUUUAAAAAGUGACUCCGUAGUCCACAAUCCAUCAGUCCAUAACUGGAGCUUUUCUGGCGAAAAGUUGUAGGAGGUCCGUGGACAGAACGUGUCCUGGGAACUUCUCCAAACUAAGAACACUCCAUGAGCUUACGGUGUCCGGUAGACAAUUAGUGAACGUUUUAAGUCUGUUGUUGUGAAUUCCACAGACAUUUGGCGAUAGUUAAAGAUCAAAACUUUAAACCACACUUGGUUUUAAAUUAUCAUGAUUAGGCGGCUUUGCGAAGAUAGUAUGCUGGUUUUAAAUCCCAGAUUCCAGCAUAAGCGACCAUAGCACAGUACAAAGCAAUAAAAUUAUCAAAAAUCAGA